rnacentral:rRNA from 1 species
CCCGCCAGGGGCAUUGCCGGGUAGCUACGUCGGGAUGGGAUAAGCGCUGAAAGCAUAUAAGCGCGAAACCCGCCACAAGAUGAGAUUUCUUUAAAGGGCCGUGGGAGAUGACCACGUUGAUAGGCCACAGGUGUAAGUGCUGUAAAGUACGUAGCCGAGUGGUACUAAUAGUCCGUUAGGCUUGCGCCG